rnacentral:misc_RNA from 1 species
AGGUGAAAAGGAGAUCAAGGCCUAUGGCAAAACCAAGAUCAACGGCAAAUACAGUAUCACCGUCGAGGGCUUUGAGUAUGGCAAAUAUGGAGCCGAGGCUUGCAAGGCCAAGCUCCAUAAGGCACCCAAAGACUCACCAUGUAACAUUCCAACUAACCUUCACUGGGGCAAGAAGGGUGCCGAGCUCAAGGUGAAGUCCAAGACAAAGUAUGAAGUUGUCCUCUAUGCUAAGCCAUUUGCUUAUGCUCCUAAGACCCCUUAUGAGGAGUGUGAGAAGCCUAAGCCUAAGCCCACACCUGCUCCUUACUAUUACACUUCCCC